rnacentral:lncRNA from 1 species
GCAUCAUAUAGGUAGAUAUCCCUAAAAUGCAUGUAAGGCAUCAAAAGUGGGAUAUCUAUGACCAUGGAAGAUUUGUAAGAAAUUGUUUUAGGAUUUGUGUAUUUGUUUGGAUCUUCUCUAUUGAAAAGCCUUCUACUAUUCGUAUCUUCUUAUUUCUUUUUAUUAGCUUAAUUAAGUAGGGUGGGCUCUCCUCUUUAUCUUCUUAAAAGAAUAUGAAAGAGUGCUGUAUGGCUUUAAAAACAUUAGAAGCUAAUCAUUAUGAAGUUUCUUUUCUCUAAAUAUUUCUACUUUAGCGCUAUAUUUGCUUUAGUUCAAGCUUGAGCCAAUUUGCCAGAGUACAUUUAAAAAGAGCAAUGUAGCAACUUG